rnacentral:lncRNA from 1 species
CCCAAGUCAGGAGCUUGUAAUUCAGUGGUUCUCGUUUGUUUAUGUGUUACAUAUUUGUUUUUCUUUCAUUUUUUUUUAUAUAAAUAAGGCCGUUAGUUUUCUCGUUUGAAUUGUUUUACAUUGUCUUAUCAGGGCCUUUUAUAGCUGACUAUGCGGUAUGGGCUUUGCUCAUUGUUGAAGGUCGUACGGUGACCUAUAGUU